rnacentral:rRNA from 1 species
UGAUGUUGCCUUAGCGACUUCUCAAAUCCUGGUCAGGUCUCAGAAGCUAAGCAGGGCCGGGCCUGGUUAGUACUUGGGUGGGAGACUGAUGGGAAUACCAGGUGCCUCGA